GACGAACGCUGGCGGCGUGCCUAAUACAUGCAAGUAGAACGCAGUUGCGAACGGGUGAGUAACGCGUAGGUAACUGCCUGGUAGCGGGGGAUAACUAUUGGAAACGAUAGCUAAUACCGCAUACUACUAGAUGGACCUGCGUUGUAUUAGCUAGUUGGUGGGGUAAUGGCUCACAAAGGCAACGAUACAUAGCCGACCUGCGAGGGGGGUCGGCCACACUGGGACCGAGACACGGCCCAAGAUCCUACGGGAGGCAACAGGAGGGAAUCUUCGGCAAUGGACGGAAGUCUGACCGAGGAAAGCCGCGGGAGUGAAGAAGGUUUUCGGAUCGUAAAGCUCUGUUGUAAGAGAAGCGGUAUCUUACCAGAAAGGGACGGCUAACUACGUGCCAGCAGCCGCGGUAAUAC
rnacentral:rRNA from 1 species